rnacentral:pre_miRNA from 1 species
UUCAUACUCCCUCCGUCCAACAAAAGAUGUCUCAAGUUUGUCAAAAUUUGAAUAUAUCUAAACAUUACUUAGUGUAUAGAUGCAUUCAAAUUUAUACUUAGUGUAUAGAUGCAUUCAAAUUUAAUCUAAAUUGAGACGUCUUUGUUGGACGGAGGAAUAUAUC